ACUGCUCAGUAACACGUGGACAACCUGCCCUUAGGUUGGGUAUAAACCCGGGAAACUGGGUAUAAUACCCGAUAGGUCUCGAUUGCUGGAAUGCAUCGAGAUUUAAAGCUCCGGCGCCUAAGGAUGGGUCUGCGGCCUAUCAGGUAGUAGUGGGUGUAGCGUACCUACUAGCCUACGACGGGUACGGGUUGUGAGAGCAAGAGCCCGGAGAUGGAUUCUGAGACACGAAUCCAGGCCCUACGGGGUGCAGCAGGCGCGAAAACUUUACAAUGCUGGCAACAGCGAUAAGGGAACCUCGAGUGCCAGGUUACAAAUCUGGCUGUCGAGAUGCCUAAAAAGCAUUUCAUAGCAAGGGCCGGGCAAGACCGGUGCCAGCCGCCGCGGUAACACCGGCGGCUCGAGUGGUAACCGUUAUUAUUGGGUCUAAAGGGUCUGUAGCCGGCCGGAUAAGUCUCUUGAGAAAUCUGGCAGCUUAACUGUCAGGCUUUCAGGAGAUACUGUCUGGCUCGAGGCCGGGAGAGGUGAGAGGUACUUCAGGGGUAGGGGUGAAAUCUUGUAAUCCUUGAAGGACCACCAGUGGCGAAGGCGUCUCACCAGAACGGACCUGACGGCAAGGGACGAAAGCUAGGGGCACGAACCGGAUUAGAUACCCGGGUAGUCCUAGCCGUAAACGAUACUCGCUAGGUGUCGGCCACGGUGCGACCGUUGUCGGUGCCGUAGAGAAGCCGUGAAGCGAGCCACCUGGGAAGUACGGCCGCAGGGUGAAACUUAAAGGAAUUGGCGGGGGAGCAC
rnacentral:rRNA from 1 species